GAUGAACGCUGGCGGCGUGCCUAAUACAUGCAAGUCGAGCGAACAGACGAGGAGCUUGCUCCUCUGACGUUAGCGGCGGACGGGUGAGUAACACGUGGAUAACCUACCUAUAAGACUGGGAUAACUUCGGGAAACCGGAUCUAAUACCGGAUAAUAUAUUGAACCGCAUGGUUCAAUAGUGAAAGACGGUUUGGCUGUCACUUAUAGAUGGAGCCGCGCCGGAUUAGCUAGUUGGUAAGGUAACGGCUUACCAAGGCAACGAUGCGUAGCCGACCUGAGAGGGUGAUCGGCCACACUGGAACUGAGACACGGUCCAGACUCCUACGGGAGGCAGCAGUAGGGAAUAUUCCGCAAUGGGCGAAAGCCUGACGGAGCAACGCCGCGUGAGUGAUGAAGGUCUUCGGAUCGUAAAACUCUGUUAUUAGGGAAGAACAAAUGUGUAAGUAACUAUGCACGUCUUGACGGUACCUAAUCAGAAAGCAACGGCUAACUACGUG
rnacentral:rRNA from 1 species